CCUACGGGAGGCAGCAGUCGGGAAUAUUGGACAAUGGAGGAAACUCUGAUCCAGCAAUGCCGCGUGUGUGAUGAAGGCCCUAGGGUUGUAAAGCACUUUCAACGGUGAAGAUGAUGACGGUAGCCGUAGAAGAAGCCCCGGCUAACUUCGUGCCAGCAGCCGCGGUAAUACGAAGGGGGCGAGCGUUGUUCGGAAUUAUUGGGCGUAAAGGGCGCGCAGGCGGUUUGGAUAGUUAGACGUGAAAGCCCUGGGCUUAACCUAGGAACUGCGUUUAAUACUGCCAAACUAGAGAACUAGAGAGGAUAGCGGAACUCCCAGUGUAGAGGUGAAAUUCGUAGAUAUUGGGAAGAACAUCAGUGGCGAAAGCGGCUGUCUGGCUAGUUUCUGACGCUGAGGCGCGAAAGCGUGGGGAGCAAACAGGAUUAGAUACCCUGGUAGUCCACGCCGUAAA
rnacentral:rRNA from 1 species